rnacentral:rRNA from 1 species
AUUCCAGCUCCAAUAGCGUAUAUUAAAGUUGUUGUGGUUAAAAAGCUCGUAGUUGGAUUUCGGGUGUGGCAGGCCGGUCCGCCGUUUCGGUGUGCACUGGCAGGCGGCAUCUUACUGUCGAGGACGCGCUCCUGGUCUUGACUGAUCGGGACGCGGAGUCGGCGCGGUUACUUUGAAAAAAUUAGAGUGUUCAAAGCGGGCCUACGCUUGAAUAUAUUAGCAUGGAAUAAUAAGAUAGGACUUUGGUACUAUCUUGUUGGUUUGCAUACCAAAUUAAUGAUCAACAGGAACAGUUUGAGGAUAUUCGUAUGAACAUGUCAGAGGUGAAAUUCUUGGAUUUUGAUCAGACGAACUACUGCGAAAGCAUUUAUCAAGGAUGUUUUCAUUA